rnacentral:rRNA from 1 species
AUUGAACGCUGGCGGCAUGCCUUACACAUGCAAGUCGAACGGCAGCACGGGAGCAAUCCUGGUGGCGAGUGGCGAACGGGUGAGUAAAGUAUCGGAACGUGCCCAGUCGUGGGGGAUAACGUAGCGAAAGUUACGCUAAUACCGCAUACGAUCUAUGGAUGAAAGCGGGGGAUCGCAAGACCUCGCGCGAUUGGAGCGGCCGAUAUCAGGUUAGGGAGUUGGUGGGGUAAAGGCCCACCAAGCCGACGAUCUGUAGCUGGUCUGAGAGGACGACCAGCCACACUGGGACUGAGACACGGCCCAGACUCCUACGGGAGGCAGCAGUGGGGAAUUUUGGACAAUGGGCGAAAGCCUGAUCCAGCCAUGCCGCGUGCAGGAUGAAGGCCUUCGGGUUGUAAACUGCUUUUGUACGGAACGAAAAGGACUGCCCUAAUACGGUGGUCCCAUGACGGUACCGUAAGAAUAAGCACCGGCUAACUACGUGCCAGCCGCCGCCGUAA